CCUACGGGUGGCAGCAGUGGGGAAUAUUGGGCAAUGGAGGCAACUCUGACCCAGCAACGCCGCGUGAAUGAUGACGGUCUUCGGAUUGUAAAGUUCUGUGAUUGGGGAUGAACACAGUGACGGUCCCCCAAUCUCAAGCCACGGCUAUCUACGUGCCAGCAGCCGCGGUAAUACGUAGGUGGCAAGCGUUAUCCGGAAUGACUGGGCGUAAAGGGUGCGUGGGUGGUUUAGUAAGUUGGCGGUGUAAUUCCGGGGCUCAACCCCGUCGUGCCGUUGAAACUGAUGUUCUUGAGUGUGCGAGAAGUAGGCGGAAUGCGUGGUGUAGCGGUGAAAUGCAUAGAUAUCACGAAGAACUCCGAUUGCGAAGGCAGCAUACCGGAGCCCAACUGACGCUGAAACACGAAAGCGUGGGUAUCGAACAGGAUUAGAUACCCUAGUAGUC
rnacentral:rRNA from 1 species